AAAUUGAAGAGUUUGAUCAUGGCUCAGAUUGAACGCUGGCGGCAGGCCUAACACAUGCAAGUCGAACGGUAACAGGAAGCAGCUUGCUGCUUUGCUGACGAGUGGCGGACGGGUGAGUAAUGUCUGGGAAACUGCCUGAUGGAGGGGGAUAACUACUGGAAACGGUAGCUAAUACCGCAUAACGUCGCAAGACCAAAGAGG
rnacentral:rRNA from 1 species